rnacentral:rRNA from 1 species
CGAACGGGUGAGUAAUGCGUGACCAACCUGCCCCAUGCUCCAGAAUAGCUCUUGGAAACGGGUGGUAAUGCUGGAUGCUCCAACUUGACGCAUGUCUUGUUGGGAAAGUGUUUAGUGGCAUGGGAUGGGGUCUCGUCCUAUCAGCUUGUAGGCGGGGUAAUGGCCCACCUAGGCUUCGACGGGUAGCCGGCCUGAGAGGGCGGACGGCCACAUUGGGACUGAGAUACGGCCCAGACUCCUACGGGAGGCAGCAGAA